rnacentral:rRNA from 1 species
CAGGGUGACAGGUGGUGCAUGGUUGUCGUCAGCUCGUGUCGUGAGAUGUUGGGUUAAGUCCCGCAACGAGCGCAACCCUCGACCUUAGUUGCCAGCAUUCAGUUGGGCACUCUAAGGUGACUGCCGGCUAAAAAGUCGGAGGAAGGUGGGGAUGACGUCAAAUCAUCAUGCCCCUUAUGACCUGGGCUACACACGUGCUACAAUGGGCGGUACAAAGGGUCGCGAACCCGCGAGGGGGAGCCAAUCCCAAAAAGCCGCUCUCAGUUCGGAUUGCAGGCUGCAACUCGCCUGCAUGAAGCCGGAAUCGCUAGCAAUCGCGGAUCAGCAUGCCGCGGUGAAUACGUUCCCGGGCCUU